UGGAUAAGUUUUUUUUCCGAUUUUCUGAGUCUUUUUUUUACAAAUGUGUAGGGACAUACACAUCCGGUGAAGGCGUCAACUUUGAGCCUCUGGGUAGGAGCGCUUGAUUCUGCUGCCCCCGUUUUCGGCUGCGUGAGCUCGAGCGAAAUUCGCUAGAUAUGAUCAUGUGCGACAGUGUUUCUGGACAGCUCGUUUGCUCUGUCAAACUGGCGGAUCAGAGAGGCACAAUGAUGUUAACAUUUAUGAGAUGUGUAUUCUUUCACCGCAUUCGUCAUCGCCGGGUGCCUGAGAAGUUUUGAUGACAAUCCUGAUGCCAUAAAGUAGUCAACUUAGGUUGGCAUUUCUUGGAUUCGAUAUUUUGGAAAAAAAAAAACGAAGGAGAGAAGUUUGGAAUUUGCAUUUCAAUCAUCAGAAAAGGUUCUUCCCCUCUGGAGCAUCAUUCGGCUUCCCGAGGAUGGUUUGCGUCAAUCAUUUCGCAAAGUGUAAUGUCGCAGCGGGUUCGAUAGCCUGGAAUUGUUGUACAAGUUCCCGACAGAGAGGACUCAGAAACUCGAUAUGGAGAUCUCCGAGGAUGAGAGGAAAACCAAGCUUGGCUCCCCAAAGAAGGCAGCAAUGAAUGCCUCAACCAAGAGGGGCCGAAGAGGCGGCAACGUCGAGUCUAUCUUGUUCGACAAAGACGACAACGCUGAGGAUUCAUAGGCAGUGAAUGUGCUUUGCCAAGUACUUAUCCCAGAAGAGCUUUUGCCAUCUAAAGACGAUGAUCAAAUAUCAUACUAAGGUCGCUUUCUAUUUCAGUGAUCGUAGUAUUCAGGUGUCAUUAAAUUUAAGUGUGAUUAUGCAGAAAACAAGGCGAUACUGGAGAUUAAGAUUUUUUAGGGCCAGAGUUCAAUAUCGAGAAGACAAAGCAAAUGUGGACCGACAUGCUCCGGUGGAGGAAGGAACUUGGCGCAGACACAAUCAUGGAGGUAAUCAUCGACAAGGACUCGUAUUCACAUGAUUAUUUCAUUCCACGCUCUCUAAAAUUACCGGGUACUAAUAAUCGACACUUUUUCUUAGGACUUUGUCCUCAAUAUGCAGAGCCCGGAAUUUUGCAGGUAA